CCUACGGGAGGCAGCAGUGGGGAAUAUUGCACAAUGGGGGAAACCCUGAUGCAGCGACGCCGCGUGAGUGAGGAAGUAUUUCGGUAUGUAAAGCUCUAUCAGCAGGGAAGAAAAUGACGGUACCUGACUAAGAAGCCCCGGCUAACUACGUGCCAGCAGCCGCGGUAAUACGUAGGGGGCAAGCGUUAUCCGGAUUUACUGGGUGUAAAGGGAGCGUAGACGGCUAAUCAAGUCAGAAGUGAAAACCCGGGGCUCAACUUUGGGACUGCUUUUGAAACUGAGUAGCUAGAGUGCAGGAGAGGUAAGCGGAAUUCCUAGUGUAUCGGUGAAAUGCGUAGAUAUUAGGAGGAACACCAGUGGCGAAGGCGGCUUACUGGACUGUAACUGACGUUGAGGCUCGAAAGCGUGGGGAGCAAACAGGAUUAGAUACCCUAGUAGUC
rnacentral:rRNA from 1 species